UGAUAGCUGCUGUGAGAAAUGGCCACAGUUGUUGCUGUGUGGAGUGACGCAUUGACUUCACCUCUUCUCUGUUAUUGCUGCCGGCCCCAGCGGGUCCACUGUGUGCUGCCUGGAUUCAGCGCCUGUCAAUCUAAAAAAGCCUCCCCCUGUGGUCCCUUAGGCCGAGUGUGAUGGUCAGCAAUUACACCUGAAGCUGUGCUCAUUUGUUCGUGAGAAGAAUUCAAUCCUCCUCAUUCUGUGCAUUGGGACAGUCAUGUCCCGUCUGACCUGCUGAGAGGAAAAAGUGUCGAGGAGAUCAGUGGCAGUAUUCGAGGCUGCAUGUCACACCAUCUGCCAUGCCAUGUUGCUGUGUUGGAAGUCUUCGAAGGGGGGGACGUUUUUAUCAGUUGUGCUCCAAGGCCUGGCUUGGCUGCACUUGCACUCAGCAGCACACACAUAAAAAUCAGUGUAUAUGAGCAUAUGAGUGUGAAUUUGUCUAAUUUUGAACUCUGAUGAGUGAUUUACAUUAAGCCAAACCGAUGGAAGGGAAGUGGACGUGGGUGGAAACGAGAGCGAGAGUUGGUUAAUUCUGUCUGAGCUGGAAGCCUCGGCCCCCCCAGUCAGAACAUGGGGGCUUGUCUCUUCUGGUUCCAGAGAGCGCUGUGAGAUGCCCCGUGGAGGAGACGCACGGGCAGCAACCAAAGGGAAGUCGGCGUGGGAUCACAGGGACAGGGGGGGGAUUUUAAUAAGGGUAUUCAAAUUUGUGGUUUGUGUAUGUGAUUUGUGUGUGUGUGGUUAGAAGAGAAGGAGUGUAGAUUGGCUCUGAUUAGACUCACACACACAUAGCCUACACACAGGUUUAUUUUUAGCCACUGUCGCACUCUUUGCUCAACCCCUGUGCUCUGUCUCUCUCAGCACAGACCCCCCCCUCCUCCUCUUCUUCAGUGAAGAGAAGGACAGCAAUUCAUCAGUAUUUUUUGGGACAAAUAGUUCCUUUUCGUCGUCAAUUUGCUGCAGGAAUGAGGUGUUAGGAAGAGACAACAGGGGACAAGUUUAUAAAGAGCAGGAAGCAGAGUGAGAUGGAGAAGAGGAAAAAUCAAUCCUGCCUCCUUUACGUCUGCCCGUCUCAUUUUCCCUCUUCUAUACCGACUCCGACACACAAAGAUAUUGAUAUGUGUCGUCUUCCAAAGCGCCUCUCAUUGUUGUGAACAUGGCUAUUGAGCAGUGACAAUUAAUGUCCCAGUAUAAUCAAUAACAGUCCUGUCUGUUCUCCACACAUCACUAGAUAUAUAUACUGUAUAUAGUGUCCAUCACUCUCUGGGAGACAGAUUUUUGGAGCUCAAUUCUGUUAAUUCACACAUAAUAUCUGCAUAUUUCCACCUUGCACGGUAUUGAUCGACUGGUGACAGUCAACCCCCUGGAGGGUGAUCCUGUUUGUGCAGUAAAUGAGGCAAUUUCUAUUUCGGUCACUUUCCUCAUGUAACAUGAUGUAGAUUGUCGAUAAGAAUUGCAUCUCGACAUGUCUCUCCUGGAUCGAUAUGUUUUUUUUUCUGUGCGCUCCCAUUGAUUUAUGCCUCAGUAUUGCUAAAAUGAACUGGUGCCGCAGCUUUAUCGACCACUUCAGUUCCCAUCUCACUCGUCACGUGGUCAGGCACAUGCAAACAUACAUGUAGGGUGAGUGUAUGUGGUGCCAGUGACAGCUUCCCUGGGGCACUAAGAAACUGUGGUCCCUUCUGUCCGACUUGCAUUUGCCACAGUCACACUGCAGUGCUGAUAUAUAUAACGUCACUCCGUCUUACUGCAGAGCAAAUGAUGUAUAAACUAUUUUAGUUGAGCAAAUGACACAAGGUCGAGAAAUAAAAUUGUGUUUUAAUACGGUUAGACGAUUAAGGAAUUAUAAUCAAGGCACAGAACAUACAGUUAAUAACAAUGUGAGAGCAAUUAAAUCAUCAUUAUAAUUAUGGGACAUGAAUUAGAAAUGACUGUGACUGCAGCCGAAGUAACUACUCGGAGUCAAAUUAGUACUUAUAGUCUGCAACAGAUUGGCUGAUAUGAAUUUAACAGCAGUAUUACUUUAACGAAUGUAUGAGAAAUGGCAGUAGGCCUACACACUUUUAUUAUUUGAAUUUGACACAUUAAGUCAUAUACACAACAUAACUCACAUGAUUCAGCACAUAUCAAAGAGAGUGAUGCUUUUCUCAGUGGUGGGAAGUAAAUUACUCAAGUACUUAACCUACAUUUAAGUUUGUCUCAUACCUUACUUGAGUAUUUUAUUACUGUAUAUUCCACUUCAUUUCAAAAGGCUAUAGUGUACUUUUUAAUCCACUACAUUUAUCUGAUUUACCGUAUUAGUUACUUUGAGUAGCAAUACAAUCACUAUAAAAAUACAUACUCCAUUUCAAGUGAAAGUCCUGCAUUCAGAAACUGUACCUCAGUAAAAGUACAGAAGUUUAAUCAACAAAAUGUAAUACAGUAUCAAAAGUAAAAGCCCUCAUUAUGCAGAGUUAUAUUAUUGGACCAUUAUUUAUGUAUUUAUACAUGUUGGUAAGCGGUGCUUUAAUGAUGUAGCUGGUCAAAGUGGAGUUAAAGGACCCAUAUCAUGCUCAUUUUCAGGUUCAUACUUAUAUUUUGUGUUUCUACUAGAACAUGUUUACAAGCUGUAAUGUUAAAAAAAAAAUUUAU